rnacentral:lncRNA from 1 species
AACCGGGACAGUGGUAGAGCGUUUUCCAUGACUUCCAUGCGUUAUGUGUUCUACGCAGGCUCUAGGCGGCGCAGUCCCGCAUGGCGCCGCGCAUCACUAGCACCGCCAAGGUGUGCGUGCUGGGCAUGCCCUGCUCGUCCACAUAGGAGCUCAGCCCUGCUCGUCCACACAGGAGCUCACUGGGCGGUGGGCUUACAUGGAGUCAGUGCUGUUGAGGAGGGUUGCGGCUCUUUGGGAACUGCAACGUACUGGGGCAUCAAACUCUGGGCGCAAGGGAAGCUUACGUCUUACAGAGAGUGUUGACUACGUAAUGGGUCUAUGGACCAUCGAUGUAUGUGUUGCCGACGCGUGUGUAUAGUGCUGGCCCUGCACCGCGUUGGCAUCAGACGUGUUAGGGUGUCUUUACAAUAUUGAAAGGGUUCAAGCUGCACUCGUACGAGCACCGCAACCGAGGCCUCAUCCGCGCGUCCGCAUACCGCAUGGAAACGGCUUCCGCGCGAAAACACGCAUCACUCGCCCGGAUGGCUGCUGUGAAGUACCGACUGCUCUUGAUCCCAGUCAUCACGAAGAACGCAAUGGGAGAGGGGUGUAUAUGUACCUAGACAGAGACACAGUUAGACAUUGUAACGAACGUACAGCUAUGGACGAGCUAGUUACCUAGCCAGUCUCUGCGGCCCCCUUCUCCAGACUAACGGCUACCCGCACAUGUCGUCCACCGGCCCGCCUUUCCCAAGCUGAGCCCGAUUGGCAAUCCGAGUCACAACCACGUCUUCGCUGGGAUCAACCUUGCUUUUGAGCUUGCUGUAGAUAUGGACACCGUCCUCGGUUGAGAUUUCAAACGCCCCCGGCCGUCCAUCGCCCUCAAGAUUCCCCUCUACAACCACGCCAGGAAAGGCAGCCUCUAUGGCGUCCGCCAUCGCUAUGAAGGCAUCGACGUUCUCCGGAUCGUACUCGAUAUGAACCACCUUGGGCGGAGCACGAUCCAAGCCGGCGCGUCAUGCAUAUUGGCGAAAGCCGUAGCUGGAAAGGGACACUGGAUAGUGUUUGCAUAAGAAUGGCGUCCGACAUCCCAGCCGCGCUGUCGGGAGGAACAAGCAGCGGUGUAAGCUUGUUGCAGGGUAGCGGUUAAGGCGGUUAGGACGCCAGGCUAUCUUGACGUGUUGGCGAGGAUACGCAAGCAGGAGAUGUGCUGUUGUAUUAGGCGCCACGGAUCUGAGCUGGACACUAACGCACCUGUUAGUGGUUCCAUGGCCACGACCUGCCCUUGCAAGCCAAGCGUCGCCUCUGCUGCAAGGCUAGCAGCAUUUGUCAGAGUAUUCGAUACACCCGACAGAGACACACGAGUGAACAGCGUUCCUAACGCUCGUCGCAUGAUUUGCACGAAUUCAAGGAAGCGAGAAAAAAUGUCCUUCUUACAGGAAAUUAAUUUUUAGAAAUCAAGCAAAUGCCUUUAAGUGUUACUCGCAAGAGCUGAGGUACAACGCCAAAGCGACAUCAACGCCGAUCAAUUGACCAAAUGCUAUGGAGUAAGCACUCAUUAUAAUAGAAGAUGCAAGGAGACUGUGGACAUGUCGUUGAUACGAAUCUGUAGGGGUUUCAUUGACAUUUUAGGCGCUCUUACCCUGGCGCCGUACCAUAUAGAUCCUGAGCUUCAGACACAAUAAC